rnacentral:rRNA from 1 species
UGGGACUGAGACACGGCCCAGACUCCUACGGGAGGCAGCAGUAGGGAAUCUUCGGCAAUGGACGAAAGUCUGACCGAGCAACGCCGCGUGAGUGAAGAAGGUUUUCGGAUCGUAAAACUCUGUUGUUAGAGAAGAACAAGGACGUUAGUAACUGAACGUCCCCUGACGGUAUCUAACCAGAAAGCCACGGCUAACUACGUGCCAGCAGCCGCGGUAAUACGUAGGUGGCAAGCGUUGUCCGGAUUUAUUGGGCGUAAAGCGAGCGCAGGCGGUUUCUUAAGUCUGAUGUGAAAGCCCCCGGCUCAACCGGGGAGGGUCAUUGGAAACUGGGAGACUUGAGUGCCAGAAGAGGAGAGUGGAAUUCCAUGUGUAGCGGUGAAAUGCGUA